GCCAGGCCUGGUGGAGCCUGCCUGUAAUCCCAGCAACUUGGGAGGCUGAGGCAGGAGGAUUGCAAGUUAAAGGCUAGCUUCAGCAAUUUAGCAAGGCCCUAAGCAAGUUAGCGAGACCCUGUCUCAA
rnacentral:sRNA from 1 species